UACGUAGGGUGCAAGCGUUUGUCCGGAAUUAUUGGGGCGUAAAAGAGCUUGUAGGCGGUUUGUCGCGUCUGCUAGUGGAAAUUUCCGGGGCUCAACCCCCGAACUUGCAGGUCGGGUACGGGCAGACUGAGAGUGGUGGGUAGGGGAGACUGGAAUUCCUGGUGUAGCGGUAGAAAUGCGCAGAUAUCAGGAGGAACACCGAGUGGCGAAGGCAGGUCUCUGGGCCAACUGACUGACGCUGAGAAGCGAAAGCGUGGGGGAGCGAACAGG
rnacentral:rRNA from 1 species